rnacentral:ribozyme from 1 species
AAAUAAAAAGGGAAAAGGAAAAAGAGCACAGAACCGCGGCUUGAUUGAUCACGCAUCUUUGCCGCUUUUUGCCAUCUUUAUUUUCCGUCUUUAUUUUACCCUUUCCUUGUCC